rnacentral:misc_RNA from 1 species
GGAAGUAAAAGUCUAACAAGGUCUCCGUUGGUGAACCAGCGGAGGGAUCAUUAUCGAGUUUAUAACUCCCAAACCCUAUGUGAACUUACCACUUGUUGCUUCGGCGCGCGCUUCGGUGCCGCCGAGGACACUUAAACUCUUUGUUUUUAUAAGCAUUUCUGAGUGGCCGAAAGGCAAAAUACAAAUGAAUCAAAACUUUCAACAACGGAUCUCUUGGUUCUG